rnacentral:misc_RNA from 1 species
GAUGAAGAACGCAGCGAAAUGCGAUAAGUAAUGUGAAUUGCAGAAUUCAGUGAAUCAUCAAAUCUUUGAACGCACAUUGCGCCCAUUAGUAUUCUAGUGGGCAUGCCUGUUCGAGCGUCAUUUCAACCCUUAAGCCUAGCUUAGUGUUGGGAGACUGCCUAAUACGCAGCUCCUCAAAACCAGUGGCGGAGUCUGUUCGUGCUCUGAGCGUAGUAAUUUUUUAUCUCGCUUCUGCAAGCCGGCCAGACGACAGCCAUAAACCGCACCCUCUCGGGGGGCACUUUUUUAAUGGUUGACCUCGGAUCAGGUAGGAAUACCCGCUGAACUUAAGCAUAUCAAUAAGCGGAGGA